GAAGAAUGAAUGUUCACAAUACUCAUCCAAAGUCAGAGCUUGAAAGGUAUUUGCUUGAUGACUGUGAAGCAUCUACCAAGGAGUUUGAUAUUCUAGCAUGGUGGCAGGCUAAUAGUACCAAGUAUAAGGUACUAUCACUAAUGGCAAAGGAUAUUUUAGCAAUACCAGUGUCCUCCGUUGCUUAGGAAUCUGCAUUCAGUAUUGGAAAACGCAUUCUUACUCCAUGGAGAAGCUCGCUAUCUGCCAGGACAGUUGAAGCACUUCUCUGUACGCAAAGCUGGUUGCAGAAACCUAUCUCUCUUGCUUUCCUAUGUGACUACGUACCUGAUGACAAUUCCAACAUUGAAGAUGAAAUUUUGGGGAAGGAUGAAGAUUAAGGAGAUUGGCUUGAGAGAUGGAUGGACUGCAGUCUUUUAGCUUUGGUUAACUUGAGAAAUGAAGAUCAAAUGGAUGACUGCAGUCUUUUUAUGUUAUUGGCAACAUCGUUUUCUUUUAACUUUCGUUUCAUCAGACUUUGGUUAUCUUUUAGAAUUAAGACUUUGGCUAACUUGUUUGUGAACUUCAA